AUAAUUCAGAGGCCAUGAAUAAUUCUUUUAUGCCUCUAAAUUUGUUACCACUAGUGCAUCAACACUCUCGUAACCAUCCUCAUUUAAGGAAACCACAAUCUAGAAAAAAUCACCCCUAAUGCCUCUAUAGGGAUAAUCCUCAUUGAAGUGAUUGAUUUUAUGAAAAGUGAAACAUUUUAAAUUUCACUUAUCAAAACCUUUGGACUUGUACCUUGACCUAUAUUUCUUCCACUUUUGCUUUCUUCUACCUUCCACUUUUGCUUU
rnacentral:lncRNA from 1 species